GCUCCCGUAGCUUAACGGAUAAAGCCUUGGCCCGCUAAGCCGAGCAUCCGGGUUCAACUCCCGGCGGGAGCA
rnacentral:tRNA from 1 species